GGGGGGUGCAAGCGUUAUUCGGAAUCAUUGGGCGUAAAGGGCGCGUAGGCGGUCUCUUAAGUCAGGUGUGAAAGCCUUCCGCUUAACGGAAGAAGUGCACUUGAAACUAAGGGACUUGAGUAUGGGAGAGGGAGGUGGAAUUCCUGGUGUAGCGGUGAAAUGCGUAGAUAUCAGGAGGAACACCGGUGGCGAAGGCGACUUCCUGGACCAAUACUGACGCUGAGGCGCGAAGGCGUGGGGAGCAAACAGGAUUAGAUACCCUGGUAGUCCACGCAGUAAACGGUGAACACUAGGUGUAGUGGGUAUUGACCCCCCUGCUGUGCCCGCAGUUAACGCAUUAAGUGUUCCGCCUGGGGGAGUACGGCCGCGAGGCUA
rnacentral:rRNA from 1 species